rnacentral:snRNA from 2 species
UCACUUACCUGGACGGGGUCAAUGGGUGAUCAAGACGGUCCAUGGCCUAGGUUGGUGACUUCCAUUGCACUCAGGAGGGGUGCCUGCCUAAGGUCGGCCCAAGUGGUCGAGCCUACUUCAUAAUUUGUGGCAGUGGGGGCUUGUGUUCGCGCAGCCCCUGU